AACGAACGCUGGCGGCAUGCCUAACACAUGCAAGUCGAACGAGACCUUCGGGUCUAGUGGCGCACGGGUGCGUAACGCGUGGGAACCUGCCCUUAGGUUCGGAAUAACUCCCCGAAAGGGGUGCUAAUACCGGAUAAUGUCUUCGGACCAAAGAUUUAUCGCCUUUGGAUGGGCCCGCGUUGGAUUAGCUAGUUGGUAGGGUAAAAGCCUACCAAGGCGACGAUCCAUAGCUGGUCUGAGAGGAUGAUCAGCCACACUGGGACUGAGACACGGCCCAGACUCCGACGGGGGGGAGGAGGGGGGAAUAUUGGACAAUGGGGGAAAGCCCGAACCAGCAAUGCCCGGGGAGGGAUGAAGGGCUUAGGGGUGUAAAGCUCUUUUACCCGGGAUGAUAAUGACAGUACCGGGGGAAUAAGCUCCGGCUAACUCCGUG
rnacentral:rRNA from 1 species